AUACAGAGGGUGCGAGCGUUAAUCGGAAUUACUGGGCGUAAAGCGCGCGUAGGCGGCUACUUAAGUCAGAUGUGAAAUCCCCGGGCUCAACCUGGGAACUGCAUCUGAUACUGGUAAGCUAGAGUUUGGGAGAGGGAAGUAGAAUUUCAGGUGUAGCGGUGAAAUGCAUAGAGAUCUGAAGGAAUACCAGUGGCGAAGGCGACUUCCUGGCCUAAAACUGACGCUGAGGUGCGAAAGCGUGGGUAGCAAACGGGAUUAGAAACCCCAGUAGUCC
rnacentral:rRNA from 1 species